GUUUCCAUCACGGACGAUCUCAAUCACGACCAAGGAGCGCCCGAUCGAUCGCCGAGUGGGCGUGUCCUCAGGCGAAGACGCAGCGUGUCACGUGGUGUGGGUCUGACUGAGUGGGUGUGUCUUCAGCAAUAGGGUUUCAUUCAUAAAUACUUAGUCCCAAAGAUUUAAAUGAAAGGGUUCCGUGAGAAUUUUCGGGUUAUUGCCAUAGAACAAACCGUUUUGAUGUAUGGACCAAAUGAUUUGUUUAGCUUCUGCUGCCUCCUGCCAUAGCAACCCGCAUGUUGCUUCGACGCGUUACGAGAGCCUGGACGAGAGAAGAACAUGAUCGGAUAUGAAAUGAGCCUAUUACCAUAUAAUCCCCCCAUCUGCUUCCUUUGCAAAUCAAUAAUUGAAGUUCAUAGCGAUUAAGCCCCAUGCAAGCAGCAGGAUCGGUGACUUUGGUGUUUAACAUGGCUGUGGAAAUAGCACGCUGCAUGGCUCCAGCCUGUGCCGCUGACCUCCGGCCGCCGGGCCCACCCCAGGGGAGCCCUGUAGCUUAGGGCCCAGCCCGCCCGGCCGGGGCCCAGAGAGAGA
ensembl:lncRNA